rnacentral:sRNA from 1 species
GCAUUGGAAUUUCGCAAAUAUUAAAACAGCGUGGCUAACAAUGAUUUUGCCCAGAGGCCCAAACAAGCAAUAGCAAUGGAAUCCACUAGUAAUCUUUAGAAACCCAUUGGCAAAAACAUCCGAGUGCAGAAGUAAUUGAAAACAUGUUUGCAUUUCUUGUUUUUGUGAUUUUGUGAAAGUGCACAUCGAAACAAAUAUGCUCCAGUUGUAUUUGAUGUGCACUUCACUGGUUUAUUACAAUUAACACUUCAUGUAGUUCAGUUUGGUUGUCGUUUUGGAUUUGCUUAAUGUAGAUGUAUAAAUAAAAGGUUGCGCUUAAGUUAUAUGUACACUUUA